GGGCGAUUGGCUCAGUGGUAGAGCGCCCGCUUUGCAUUGAUUGCGAUGUCUGCGGGAGGCCCAGGGUUCAAUCCCCUGAUCGUCCA
rnacentral:tRNA from 1 species